rnacentral:rRNA from 1 species
CCAUUGCCCCUUAAGCAAGAUGAAGUGCGGAUCCACGGCCAUUCCUUUGAAGUGCGUAUUUAUGCCGAAGAUCCACAGAAUGAGUUUUUACCCGCCAGCGGUAAGCUCAAC